UUUGAAGCAAAUAUGCAAAUAUUGAUAAAGAAUAAAGUUUAACUUUUUAUCCAGGGUUGAAUACUGAUAUGUGGAUUCUGGACAGAAACUUUUGCUCCUUACUCUAAUCAGCACCAUUAUUUCAAUUUUUUAAAACACAUUUUCAUUGCAAUGACAUUUUGAUAAAUGAUUCAUUACCCGUUAGGAUUAUGAAUGAAUAUGUAUUGUGGCCGCAUUCUAAAGAAUUUUACACGUUUUGGGAAACGCAUAGAUAGUCUAUAAAUGUAAGACAUUCUAGUUGGCCUUAAUUUUUGCCCAUACACAUCUAACACAUUAUCAGCCAAAGAUUAUUUCCUAACAAGACCACUAAGUGACGCUUGCAUUUAAAACCAUGCCAUUGUUACAUAGUUCAAGCACGAUCGUUUUUUAUCGAAUUUGUAUUUGUCUAUGGUUUGUAGUACUACCAUAGAGCGUAUAUUUCAAUUAGUGACUACAACACCACAGCAGGGUCAGCUCGUACUAAAAAGGACACUGUCCUGUGAAGAACUAGCGCUUAGGUGAGGGUUAUCGAGAGAAUAAAGUAUAAACACAUGUUCCUCUGGGAAAAAACACAGCGUGCUUGCAGAUUUCUGCAGCUUUUUUGUCUUGAACUGUAUUCGUUUUAGACGAUUAACGUUGCUAAGUAUUACUGGUGGUUUUCUAUCUGGUAACUGGUAAAUUGUGGUUUACGGGCGGGAGUUAAAGCGCCGUUUUUAAAUAUGGAGAAGUGACAGCGAAAACAACACAGAUUACGUUGUUUGUGGUUUACGCUAUUGGAAUCUUUAAGUAUGUUAUUGCGUUUUGUACUCUUUCGACAGCUAAGUUAGCUAGAUGUCCGUAUCCACCCAAUGAAAUAAUGACAUUAGUGACUUUAAUAAUAGCUAGUUUAUUGUGCUACACAGGUUAAUUCAGUUGCAUGGACGACUGUGUGGGGUGGUUCGGCGGACCGCUCCUUAGGGGCGCGAUGAACCACCCCGCCAUGUCACAGUCUACUCCCCUGUUCCCGAACCUCAGUGCCUUGGCUGGCACACCAGCUGCUCUGUCAGCCUCCGACAUGGAGCUACAGAAGAUGCUUAUUGACGAGCGGAUGCGAUGCGAGCACCAUAAGACCAACUACCAGACCCUGAAGGCCGAACACACCAGAAGUUGAAUGUGUCCUUCGAAGUGGUGUUGGUGGGGGAGGGCAGCUCCCCCCUGGAGGUCAGCGUGCUGGAUUGUGACACGGUGGAGCAGGCGAAGGAGAAAAUUCUAGGGGCCUUCAAGAGCAAGUUUGGCUUCCCC